AUAUGCGUUUUGGGGUCUUCAUACACAGCCGCUCUCACGCCUCACCCGCCUUUGCACACGUGUUGGGCGCACAUCUGCAUUUUGGGGGCGCACAUCUGCAUUUUGGGGGCGCACAUCUGCAUUUUGGGGGCUCACAUCUGGGCGCGCGCGCAUCUGGCCGCGGCCGGGCACACCUGGGCACACCUGGAGAGGCGCGCGCGCACAUCUGGCCGCGGUCUGUGCACAUCUGGCCACGUCUGUGUGUCCGGGCUCCUCCAUCUUCCAUUUCCAGCGCUGGAAUUCUCCCCCCACCCGUCCCUCUUUUUCAGCUUUUGCUGUUUUCUGCCUCUCUCUCUCUCUCUCUCUUCUUUUUCUUUUUUUUUUUCCUCUUUAAUCUUAAAUAGAAUUUUUUUUUCCGCCUGGAGGGAUUUGGAGGAAACCUGGGAAAAUCGGGAAGCGGCGCCCGGCCCGGCCCCGCUGCGCGCCCGGAGCUGGGCCAGGGGGGUCGGAGAGCAGAUUUAUUUUGGAGCAGCAGAAAUCCUUCCCAGAUUUUUUUUCCAUGGAAAAGACCAUUUUUUCCCCUCUCUCCCGGGGAUUUCCAAACGUUGUUGUAUUUUUUUCCCUGCCCUGGCUGCGAUCCCGGGCCUUGUCCCGGCGGCCGCACAUUUCACAUUCCCGGGACACACCGGGGGCUCCCUCCUCUCUUUUCCGUGCCUCCCCCAGCCCCCGGAAUUCCCAAAUUCCCGGGGGGCACCGGAACUUCCAGCUCCGAAGCGCCCGAGAUGGGCCGCAGCAAAAAGGGAUGGAAAAAAUCGGAUUUUUGUUCAAAUAAAUCCCCUGGGAACCGCCCGUGGGGGAACCCAGGCUGGGACACCGCCGUGCCCGUGGGGUUUGCGUGGAUUUCCCCCAAAUCCGCCGGAAUUCUCUGCUCGAGGGUCCCUGGAGCGGGAGAGGCCCCGGAGCUGCCCCCGCUGCCAGGAAUGUGAGGAGGAGGAGGAGGAGGAGGAGGAGGAGGAGGAGGAAGUCAGGGGUCAGGGAGGAGCCGGGAAUUUGCUGACGGAUCGGAUCGGGACGAGCCGCGCUCGGAGCCGCGCGUGGGGCCGGGAGAGGCAGCGGAGAGCCCAAAAUCUGGGAAGAGUGGAAGGAGAAGGAGUCACGGCCUGGGCAGCUCGGCCGCAGCCGUUAUCCCGGUGCUCGGUCCGUGAUUCCGGUGUUUGA
rnacentral:lncRNA from 1 species